rnacentral:lncRNA from 1 species
CACAGGACCAGAAGGCGGUGACCCCCCUGGACCCAGCUUUCACUAUCUUGUGUGUGUCUAUUAUUUCUCAACCUGCCGAUCUGCCUGGGAACAAAGAGAAAGCCCCGUUGCAUUGCGGGCUGCUGGCCAGAUCCCGCAAUACCCAACAUAUUUCUACAGAGCACAAGGGGUGCACAGGCUCCAGUUUCAGGUGUUUAGGUUCAUGAGAUGUGGAGCCUGCUGAUAUGGAGGCCCAACCCUGGCCUGGGUUACGCAAGCCUGCCUAUUGCCCAAGCUGGGAACAGCCAACAGAGAUGAGGGCUGGGGUGUGGGACAGCCAGGGAGCAGCUCUACUUAGCCAAAUUGAAAUGCUGAGAUGCCAGAAGAAGCUUCCCCCAUCACUCUCUCUAGGAAGAAAUAUUUGAAUCUUGACUGGAAAGAGUACAGAUAUCAGAAAGGAAGAACAAGAGGAGGCUAAUGUGGUUUCACUCCAGAAAAUGCCUCCACAGCUGCAGGGAAGUUCUUGGAAGCCUGUAAAACUGUGUUUGGAAAUAGGCAGAGCUGCCAAAUAAUGCUGGUAAAUUUCUCAUAGCAGAGUAAGAGAGAGCUUCGGCUUUAUAGCAUUUUAGAAGAUUGCAUAAAUUCAUAAGUUAAAUAUAUGACACUCAUGUUCAGGAAGGACAGAACUUUACCCCACAGACUUUUGAAAUGAGCCAUGGAACAAGGUCCUGUGAGCCUUGACCUGGUCCUGACGUUGGAAAAAUCAGGCUGUGUUGGCAAGCCCUGCAGAAGCAAUGAUGGAGAAGCAUUAUUGAAGAAAUACGUAUUCAACAGAGAAUUGUUGGGCCAUCCUAAAAUUUACUUUCAGUAAAAAUCAUUCAGGAGGAACAAGAAAGGGUGGCAAUAUUGGCUGUUCUCAAAACAAACCAAAGAGCAAAGUGGGCUGGGCCUGGUGGCUGGCACCUGUAGUCCCAGCUUCUUGGGAGGCCAAGGCAGGAGGAUUGCUGGAGUACAGGAGUUCAAGGCUGCAGUGAGCUAUGAUCAUGCCACUACACGCCAGCCUGAGCAACAGAGUGAGGUCCUAUCUCGAAAGAAAGAAGAAAGGAAGGAAGGAAGGAAGGAGAAAGAAAGAAAGAAAGAAUAAAGAAAGAAAGAAAGAAGGAAAGAAAGAAAAAGGAAGGAAGGAAGGAAGAAAGAAAGAGAAAGAAGAAGGAAGGAAGAAAAGAAGGAAGGAAGGAAAGGAAAGAAAGAAAGAAAGAAAAGAAAGAAAGAAAGGCACCUUGAGGUUGAAAACAUCAUGAGAUGAAGGACAUUUCAUUUACAAGAACCGUGGAAGAACCAGGGAAGCCAGAAGGCCAGGCAGGGCUGACCCCCAAGAGAGAAGCAGUUACAGUAGAAGACUGCAACUUCCAGGGAGCUGUACAGAGCAGAGAUGCGCACACGUUUAAAGCAGGACCCCUGAGCAUGAGGGGUGCAGUGGGGAUGCAGCUAACAGCUGACAGCAGAAGCAUCCCUGAUUGGCCUGACCACCAAGGAGGCACUGUGGGAAGAGAAGGACUGUCAAAGUUGCUUUAACUUUUUAUUGAGUAUAUCAUACACGAACAGAAAUGUGCACAUAUCGUAAGUACACACCUGAAUGAAUUUUCACAGACAGGACACAGCCAUGGAACCAGACCCAGAUCAAGAAGCAGAACCUGGACAGCACCCCAGAAGCUGCCUUUGUGCCCAUUUCCACUCUUGAUCCUUCCCCCCGAGGAGGCAACCACUAUCCUGACUCAGCACAACGUGGACUCGCUUUGCCUGUUUUCAUAUACAUGGAAUCAUAUAACAUAUACUCAUUUUUGUCCGACAAUAUUGUUUGUGACAUCAUCCAUGUCAUUGCAUCAUUCUAGAGCAUUUAUUUUCAUGCUAUGUCAUAUUUCAUUCUGGAAAUAUAUACUAAAUUGUUCAUUCUAUUGUUGAUGGGCAUUGGGGUAGUUUCUUAAUAGGAUUUGAGUUUGGUUGAGUUUGUUUGCUCUGUGGCAUACAAUAUCAUCAUUUUCUCUGUCUCAACACAAAAUCUUUAAUCAAUGAUGUGGGGCGUGAAAGGAUUUUGUAAAGUCAACGCAAAGAAGUGCCAAGUCCAGUGUCGGGGAUAGUGUGGCAUGGAACAGAAGCCACGUGAGAACCAGCCACAUCAGGUCGAUUUUAAUUUCUUGAGUUACUCAUUAGAUUUCAUUCAACAAAAUGCAUCAAGUUACCUAAUCAGGCUGACUGGAACCAGGCAAAUUUAGACAAAUGCCUCCAGUGGACAUCUUGUAUAAUUUUGCUUUUUUGCUUCCCUUCUUGAGAAAUUCCAUGUAGUCCAGAGCUGUUGAUUAUAAAAUCCCACUUAUACACCAAGAGAAUGGACAUGGGACCCAAAACAGACCAAUUAAAGUUUCAUUCUUAGGAAUUUUAAUUUUGUGUGUGUGACUUUCUUAGUUGUUUUGUUUGUUUAUUUGUUUAAUGAGACAGGAGGAUCUCACAAUGGUUUCGAGACUGG